rnacentral:rRNA from 1 species
AAUAUCUAAACGGGGNNGANUNAAUAUCGUAGCGAUACGAUGUGCACUUCUCCCUUAGUAAGACGCUGUGAUCCAUUAGAAAUUGACCGUUCCCUCGGUUAUUUGGCUAUCAAUGGGCCGGCAUGAAGUUCAUCAAUGCAAAUGACUCGAUCUUUAAUGGCUGGGUGUAUUGUCUGGUGAGCAUGUCGUGUUCCGCUUAAUAGCUGUCUGAUGGAUUUUAAAGGCCAUAUUACUGAUGUUUCGGCAUCACUCAUACGUGAGCGUGGAUAUGUGCCCGAUCAACAGCGGUUAAAUUUGGGAUACCUUUUGGACCCGUCUUGAAACACGGACCAAGGAGUCUAUCUAGUACGCGAGUAAAUGAGUAUGUGAAACUUAUUUGCAGAAAAAACUUGACUGUUUAUGGGACUACGAGUCGCAUUCGCGUGCGGCUCCUCAAUCCCGGGGUAUUUUUAUCAACAUAUGCAGCAAUGUAUAUGGAAAAUAUACCAUGAGCGUACUGGAUAUGACCCGAAAGAUGGUGAACUAUGCCUGAUCAAGUCGAAGCCAGAAGAAAUUCUGGUGGAGGACUGAAGCAAUUCUGACGUGCAAAUCGAUUGUCGGAAUUGGGCAUAGGGGCGAAAGACCAAUCGAACUAUCUAGUAGCUG